rnacentral:rRNA from 1 species
CCAAUAGCGUAUAUUAAAGUUGUUGCAGUUAAAAAGCUCGUAGUUGAAUUUCGGGGUUAGUAAGUUGGUCAUGCCUUUGGUAUGCACUGGCUUUACUGAUUCCUCCUUCUUGACGAACCGUGAUGUCAUUAAUUUGGUGUUGCGGGAAAUCAGGACUGUUACUUUGAAAAAAUUAGAGUGUUUAAAGCAGGCUAACGCUUGAAUACAUUAGCAUGGAAUAAUGAAAUAGGACGUUAAUCCUAUUUUGUUGGUUUCUAGGAUCGACGUAAUGAUUAAUAGGGAUAGUUGGGGGCAUUAGUAUUCAAUUGUCAGAGGUGAAAUUCUUGGAUUUAUUGAAGACUAACUACUGCGAAAGCAUUUGCCAAGGAUGUUUUCAUUAAUCAAGAACGAAAGUUAGGGGAUCGAAGACGAUCAGAUACCGUCGUAGUCUUAACCAUAAACUAUGCCGACUAGGGAUCGGAUGAUGUUAAUUCUUUAAUGACUCA